rnacentral:rRNA from 1 species
AGCGAACCCCCAAAACGCCGUCUCAGUUCGGAUCGCAGGCUGCAACCCGCCUGCGUGAAGUCGGAAUCGCUAGUAAUCGCGGAUCAGCAUGCCGCGGUGAAUACGUUCCCGGGCCUUGUACACACCGCCCGUCACACCAUGAGAGUCGGGAACACCCGAAGCCCGUAGCCUAACUUGCAAGAGAGGGCGCGGUCGAAGGUGGGUUCGAUAAUUGGGGUGAAGUCGUAACAAGGUAUC